rnacentral:rRNA from 1 species
UACAGAGGGGGCAAGCGUUGUUCGGAAUUACUGGGCGUAAAGGGCGCGCAGGCGGCUACGCACGUCCGUUGUGAAAUCGCCCGGCUCAACUGGGCGGGGUCAGCGGAUACGGCGUAGCUGGAGCAAGCUAGGGGGCAAUGGAAUUCCCGGUGUAGUGGUGGAAUGCGUAGAUAUCGGGAGGAACACCAGUGGCGAAGGCGGUUGCCUGGAGCUUUGCUGACGCUGAGGCGCGAAAGCGUGGGGAGCGAUCCGG